GUCCGCUGUAGCGCAAUAUAUAGGCGUGUUGGACUUCUAAUCCAAAGGUCGUGGGUUCGAAUCCCACCUGGGAUG